rnacentral:rRNA from 1 species
UCAAAGAUUAAGCCAUGCAUGUCUAAGUAUAAGCAAUUAUACCGCGAAACUGCGAAUGGCUCAUUAUAUAAGUUAUCGUUUAUUUGAUAAUACUUUACUACUUGGAUAACCGUGGUAAUUCUAGAGCUAAUACAUGCUAAAAAUCCCGAUACGGGGAGGUAGUGACAAUAAAUACUGAUACGGGGCUCUUUUGGGUCUCGUAAUUGGAAUGAGAACAAUUUAAAUCCCUUAACGAGGAACAAUUGGAGGGCAAGUCUGGUGCCAGCA